rnacentral:rRNA from 1 species
GUCGAGCGGUAAGGCCCUUCGGGGUACACGAGCGGCGAACGGGUGAGUAACACGUGGGUGAUCUGCCCUGCACUUCGGGAUAAGCCUGGGAAACUGGGUCUAAUACCGGAUAUGACCGAGGACUGCAUGGUUUUUGGUGGAAAGGUUUACUGGUGCAGGAUGGGCCCGCGGCCUAUCAGCUUGUUGGUGGGGUAAUGGCCUACCAAGGCGACGACGGGUAGCCGACCUGAGAGGGUGACCGGCCACACUGGGACUGAGACACGGCCCAGACUCCUACGGGAGGCAGCAGUGGGGAAUAUUGCACAAUGGGCGAAAGCCUGAUGCAGCGACGCCGCGUGAGGGAUGACGGCCUUCGGGUUGUAAACCUCUUUCAGCAGGGACGAAGCGAAAGUGACGGUACCUGCAGAAGAAGCACCGGCCAACUACGUGCCAGCAGCCGCGGUAAUACGUAGGGUGCGAGCGUUGUCCGGAAUUACUGGGCGUAAAGAGCUCGUAGGCGGUUUGUCGCGUCGUCUGUGAAAACCAGCAGCUCAACUGCUGGCUUGCAGGCGAUACGGGCAGACUUGAGUACUGCAGGGGAGACUGGAAUUCCUGGUGUAGCGGUGAAAUGCGCAGAUAUCAGGAGGAACACCGGUGGCGAAGGCGGGUCUCUGGGCAGUAACUGACGCUGAGGAGCGAAAGCGUGGGUAGCGAACAGGAUUAGAUACCCUGGUAGUCCACGCCGUAAACGGUGGGCGCUAGGUGUGGGUUUCCUUCCACGGGAUCCGUGCCGUAGCUAACGCAUUAAGCGCC